rnacentral:rRNA from 1 species
AACGAACGCUGGCGGCAUGCCUAACACAUGCAAGUCGAACGAGACCUUCGGGUCUAGUGGCGCACGGGUGCGUAACGCGUGGGAACCUGCCCUUAGGUUCGGAAUAACUCCCCGAAAGGGGUGCUAAUACCGGAUAAUGUCUUCGGACCAAAGAUUUAUCGCCUUUGGAUGGGCCCGCGUUGGAUUAGCUAGUUGGUAGGGUAAAAGCCUACCAAGGCGACGAUCCAUAGCUGGUCUGAGAGGAUGAUCAGCCACACUGGGACUGAGACACGGCCCAGACUCCUACGGGAGGCAGCAGUGGGGAAUAUUGGACAAUGGGCGAAAGCCUGAUCCAGCAAUGCCGCGUGAGUGAUGAAGGCCUUAGGGUUGUAAAGCUCUCUUACCCGGGAUGAUAAUGCCAGUACCGUGAGAAUAAGCUCCGGCUAACUCCGUG